GAAAAUUUUAGUAAAUUAUAGUCAAUUUUUAUGCAAUGAAACUAUAUAGCUCUUUUUGUUAGAAAUUGUCUUACUAACUAAGCUGCUGGUGGUUCUGUGACGAAGUAGCUCCUGUUGGCUUCCCUUACACCGGGUCAGACACAGGACAUUAAUUAAGGCUGUGUGUGGUGUUUCUGAAAGGUGAGGAGACUGGGCAUUCUGUCUUUUACUCUACAGAUACAUCGUGGGAGACUCAAAGAUUAAAAUGUGGCCACUCACUGUGGAUCAGAAGCAGAAUCUCACAUCAUAACCCCAAAUGACCUGUUACUCACCAUGUGGCCCAGCUGUCUUCAAACUCACCAGCCUCCUGCCUUAGCCUUCUAAAUGCUUGGAUUACAGGCAUGACCCACCAUAACUGGCUUUGUUUUAGUUUCAGAGAAGAUGAAACUGAUGUGCGUCAAAAAGCUGGUAGUCUGUCAAGGAAAUGAGCUGAACAUGUCUGUGUACAGCUUUUGUGCCAUCCCUGGAUGAGCGAGCUGUCUGCCUCUAUGUUCUCCACAAAAUGGAAUAUAGCUGUACACCCAAGCCAAGUUAUGGAGGCUGGGAAGACCUAGAAUGUGGCAUCACUAUUUGCUGAAAUUUUUAAUAUAAUGCCUCUUAGCCUGGUUUGGAGAAAACGUCACAGAGAGGCACCAUUUGUUGUGGUUUUACAUGAAAAUUUUCUGACCCUGAACCUGGUUUGAUGGAAAUCAUUUGCUGAGGAAACCAUGCCGAUUACCGACCGAGCUCUCAAUGGAAAAAUGCAGUCGGCGUGAACCACGCACGAACACAGCAGAGAAAGAAGAAAACACACACCACGAGGAACCCUAAUAGGACAAUACAUUAUAAGCCUCAUGGUACAUCCACUUGGUGUGCUGGGAGAGUCAGGAUGAGGACCUGAGAAGAACAGCAGCUUGAACCUGACUUCAUUUAACAGCCCACUGCCCUCUUGCCAAGAACCCAUCACAGACCUUCCCAGAAGAGAGGGAUGAGCCUCACCUAUGAAUAAGUCCUCAGAAACUCAAAUUUGAUUCUAAUGGAUUGUUUUCUCAGAAAGACUGAGCAUGUCCCCCCACAUCUCUGUCAUUUCCCACAGUAGUAACCUCUGCAGAUGCCACAUAGAAAACAAAACAAAACAAAAAAACAUGAGGUUGGUGGGCAGAUAGGCAGGGUAUAAACAAACAGCCUUGUAACCCAGAAGCUGUGUGAUAUACAGUAAACUUCACAACACUGAAAAGAUGUCCUAUCUGUUAAAAUGGGGUAAUAACAACUACCCGAAUGUUUAGGAAUAGAACUUCAAUAAAUGAUACAUUUUAUAGUACAGCAGACCAUCCUGUAAAGGUUUCAUCCUUCACUGUGGUGAUAAAUAUCCCAAACCACAUUGAAAAGCAUUGCAUCUACAUUUAUCUACACUGUAACUGUACUGUAAAUCAUGGGGGAGGGGAGAAUCAUAAAAACACCACCUGUCACCGUGUCAUUAAAGCAAGUUGGAAGUGAUACUUACAGAAACACAGCAAGAGCACCCCCAGUCACACAGUUCAAUCUCUUAGCAAGCGUUUUCUUUCUAGCCCAGUGGUUCUCAGUUUGGAAUUUUUGGCACUGCCUAGAGAUAGUUUUGUUGUUAAAACUGAGAAAAGAGCCGGGCGUGGUGGCACACGCCUUUAAUCCCAGCACUCAGGAGGCAGAGGCAGG
rnacentral:lncRNA from 1 species